AUUGAACGCUGGCGGCAGGCCUAACACAUGCAAGUCGAGCGGAUGAAGGGAGCUUGCUCUUGGAUUCAGCGGCGGACGGGUGAGUAAUGCCUAGGAAUCUGCCUGGUAGUGGGGGAUAACGUCCGGAAACGGGAGCUAAUACCGCAUACGUCCUGAGGGUGAAAGUGGGGGAUCUUCGGACCUCACGCUAUUAGCUGAGCCUAGGUCGGAUUAGCUAGUUGGUGGGGUAAAGGCCUACCAAGGCGACGAUCCGUAACUGGUCUGAGAGGAUGAUCAGUCACACUGGAACUGAGACACGGUCCAGACUCCUACGGGAGGCAGCAGUGGGGAAUAUUGGACAAUGGGCGAAAGCCUGAUCCAGCCAUGCCGCGUGUGUGAAGAAGGUCUUCGGAUUGUAAAGCACUUUAAGUUGGGAGGAAGGGCAGUAAGUUAAUACCUUGCUGUUUUGACGUUACCAACAGAAUAAGCACCGGCUAACUUCGUG
rnacentral:rRNA from 1 species